GACGAACGCUGGCGGCGUGGAUUAGGCAUGCAAGUCGAACGGUAUCAUCCUUUCGGGGGUGAGAGAGUGGCGAACUGGUGAGUAACACGUAGGUUAUCUACCCUCAAGACGGGGACAACCCAGGGGAAACUUGGGCUAAUACCGGAUGUGAGCAACUUUUAGUUGUUUGAAAGGUGGCGUAAGCUGUCGCUUGGGGAUGAGCCUGCGUCCUAUUAGUUAGUUGGUGAGGUAACGGCUCACCUAGGCAAUGAUAGGUAGGCGGCCUUAACGGGUGGUCGCCCACACUGGGAUUGAGAUACGGCCCAGACUCCUACGGGAGGCAGCAGUCGAGAAUAGUCUACAAUGGUCGGAAGACUGAUAGUGCGACGCCGCGUGAACGAUGAAUCCCUUCGGGGUGUAAAGUUCUUUUAUAUGUGAGCAGUGCUUCUUAUAUUAACAGUAGUGGGGAGAGAGAUAUUAGCAUAUGAAUAAGCAACGGCUAACUCCGUGCCAGCAGCCGCGGUAAACUCG
rnacentral:rRNA from 1 species